UGGCGGACGGGUGAGUAAUGUCUGGGAAACUGCCUGAUGGAGGGGGGAUAACUACUGGAAACGGUAGCUAAUACCGCAUAACGUCGCAAGACCAAAGAGGGGGACCUUCGGGCCUCUUGCCAUCGGAUGUGCCCAGAUGGGAUUAGCUGGUAGGUGGGGUAACGGCUCACCUAGGCGACGAUCCCUAGCUGGUCUGAGAGGAUGACCAGCCACACUGGAACUGAGACACGGUCCAGACUCCUACGGGAGGCAGCAUG
rnacentral:rRNA from 1 species